CUUUUUUUUUUUUUUUUUUUUUGGGUUUUCGUUGCAUAUGAAGGUCCAAGUUAAUGAUUGUGUGUAACUCCUGAUUAAAAUGCAAAGCUUGUCUAAACUUUAAAAGAUAUUAGACAAGGAAAAGAUAUUAUUGGUAAAAGAGGGGAAAAAACUCAUCAAUGUAUAUAGAGAUAAACCAAUUUUAAGCAAAUGAUUAGACAAGUCUAAAAUUUUGCAGGGGCUUGAGUUGUGUUGGGUGGUAAAAUGAGAGGUACUGUUAACCAAAAAAAGGGUCUAAAAUCUUGCCUUGCAAAGAAGAGAAUCAGAGGAGAAAAAGCUUUCCUCCCAACCAGGUACUUAGAGCCGUCAUUUGACAUGUAGCCUGUAGGAUUCGGAGGUCAGAAUUUAGGGUUAAUUUCGUCCUUCACGGUCAUUUUCAGAGAAACCUAGGGAAGAAAAGCCUUUCUUCUCUUCUUCCUGCCUGCAUUUGGAAAUAUCUGCAUGAUCCCGAAUACUUUCCAGGGCAAAUUAAACAAUUCUAUAGUUGUGUUAAUCUCAUGGAAUCAUUGUGAAGCACCAUGUGUUUUCAGAAUUUAUCACGAAGACAUUGGAAUGAAAAACCAUUAAUGGACGAUAAAUUCCCCUACCUGAAAGAGUCUGCAUCAGGUUAAAAGUCUCCAAGAUGGAGAAUUUAUCUGUGCCACUUGGAAGUCUACUCUAUCGAAACUCACAAGCUGACAACUGCCUCGAAUUAUAUAUAUCUAUAUAUAUAUAUAUAGAGAGAGAGAGAGAGAGAGAGAGAGAGAGAGAGAGAAAUUGCUGGCAGUAUUCCCAGAGCUGAAGGCCUCUUUUUUUUCACUUCAGAAAACAGGAAUUGGGCAACCCGAGCAACGAACAAUAGGGCAUAAGCACUUGUACCAGCACCAUUGUUGGCAUGAUCUUCUCCCUCAAAAUCAAAUGGUAAAUGAUAUAUUUCUGCAGCUAUUUGUGCCCGCGUUGCCUGAAUUAUCAUACAGCUUAUCGACAUCCUUGCCACAAAAACGGUAAGACCCGAAUUAUCUAUAGACAUCUCUGCAAGUAAACGUGCCUCAUGACCCACAACUGGCUAAUUGGUGAGUCCCAAGGGAUUCAAUUUCGAUAAUCUCAUGCAAAAUAAAGGGAGUAUAGAAUUCGAAAGCUUUUUUGUCGGGUAUGAACCAGCUCUGCAAUCAAAACAACGUUCCGCACAUUAAGAUGAUUAGCACCAUCUUACAGAAAGUUACAGAAGAAAUAGUUGUCAAUAUGACAUUAAGUAUGCUUAACUUGCACAAAUAUUGCCCAAAUGUCUACAUCAGGAAGGAUAGAACCAGACAUAAAACUCAGGAUAAGUCAAACCCAUAGCCCUUACAAAUUUAAACGCAGAGUCAGAAACAAUCAAGUCAAUUAUGAGUCCAAUGCCAACUUCUUACUGUACAAGAGAAUGUACAUCUAGAUGCCUGUUACAGAACCAGACAUGGUCAUUGAGACUCCUGAGAGAAUCUAAGUCUGCACAGUCCUGAAUCCUAAAACAUCUACCUGCAUUGCCAAGUAUCAGCAACUUUACACAGGCAAUUGUUUAUCUCCAACACGAUUUUAUUCAUCUUCCAACUCCACAAUCUGUGCCCUCCUCUCAGCUGCUUUCUUCCUGAUGAAAAAGCCCCAUCUCAUUGCAGCCUUAAUUUUUAGCCAGCCAACAACUGCUUUCCCAGAACGGGUGCGAUCCUCAUCAUAACUGUAGUUUGGAGAUGGCGAUGGCAUGUAAGAUUGGAAAGCAAAAUUAUCAUCAGGCACAUUAACAGCUGCAUGGCCUCCCAUGCUGAAAAGUCUAAGUAGGUGUUGCAUAUCUUCAUUCUCGAGCAUCUCAUGGCUUCUCAAACGAAUUUCCUCCUCCGACAAGAAGUCAUCCACACUCUUGUCACGAUUUUGAGUCCAGUCUUCAAAAGGAUUGAGGUUGGAUGGCUGAACAGAUGACCCAACUGUCUGGAAUGAUGAUGAUGACUGUGGAGGAGCAAGGGCCAAUGCUGCCCUAUUAUCAUAUCUUGUGUUCUGAAUUUGGUGAGAACUGCUGAUUUGCUGGUCAGGUAAACCAUAUGGAGUACUACCAUAUUGAUUGCGGGAACUUGAAUUCAGAAUUUGAGACUGGUUAGCAUAUCUGGUAGCCAUAUUAUCAUUAUAACCUGACCACGAGAUAGUAGUAGUAAAGGUUACAGUAAGAUGUAAAGUGGCCAACAAAAGUAACAUUGCAUAACCACAAAACAUACCGGUAAAUGUGUAUAUGUAAAUGAAGUUGAGAGAAGAUACUACACAAUGUAAAUGGAAAAAUCAUAGGGAGGAAAAGGUAAUUAGCCCCCAGUUUUGUACCACUAGAAACCAAGAGAUCAGAACAGAAAACAUCCCUAAUGAAAUGUAUUCAAAUCUCCUCUCUUUAUUUACCCCUUUUCAAAUAGAAGAUAGACUCAUAAGCAACAAAGGAGGAGGAUUUCUCGAUCCCAAAGGAGAUAUAUAAGCCAGCAUCAAUCUUAGCACAUAUUGCCUCCAUCUCAUAUGAAUGUUUCACAUUGACUACUCACUAGGGUUCAGAAAAAGUUCAAGAUACAAAAAAACAUAAAAAGAAAAGGGGAAACAAGUUGUUCCAUACACCAGAUCAUGUCCAUGCACUAUAUCCUCUAAUACAUCCUUCCCUAGGUAUUCUUGAUAUCAUGAUUGAUGGUAUCCAAUCUUCUCACUCCAAACCACAAGCGUUGGAUCCUUUUCACCAAAUUCUGCUACAAUGCCUCAACCCUUAGGGUGGAACAUAUCAGAGAGAGCAAAGCCAUAUUAUCCUACCCAACCGGAAACAUUACCCAAGUUCUCUGAUAAAUGCAUAUACUUCAAUGUUCAGGACGGACAAAAAAUGAAAUAAGAAAAAGAAAAGAAAACAUAUGGAUCUUACAGGGCAAAGGACAAGAGAAGCUGGGAACAAGUUCAACAACAUGGAAAACAAUCAUGUUGACCUGAUAUUAUAGUUUACCCAACUCAAAUAAAAGUAAAAGGUGCCUAUGCUAGGUCCAAGAGAUUAAUAUGAAAUGUUAAUAGUUUACCUAACUGAAAUGUUACUAUGGCUUCAUUACUUUAGAAUAUGAUGCAUCUUCCCAUUAGAUUGCUUUACUUGUACAUGUUGUUCGAGAAAACAUUUGGGAAAAUGGGGUUGACAUUAGGAGAUUACAGAUGCAUAUAUCUUGUACAAAAAGCAAACCAGUCAUCCACUGCAUGCUCAAAAGGUAGCAAACCAGAUAGCAGUUCAUUUGAUAUUCUAUAAGUUGACUUUACCUCCAAUCAGCAUGUUUGGAUCCACUGGAGAUGGCUCAGAUGGAACUGGUACUGGUAAUCGGGGCGGAUCUGAAAGCUGAUUAUCCAAAGCAUUAGGAUAAUCCACUGGCCCAACUGGAAGUUCAUCCCGGGAUGCACUUGAUUUCUUAUUUUGCUUGAAGUUCAGAAGAGACUUGCCAUCAUACUCUAUAACUAGGUUCCAGUUGUCAUAUGCUUUCUUUACCAAACCAUCAACAUAUAACUACAGGUAGAAGAAAUGAAAAUUCUGUUAAUAUGCACAACUUUUGCUAUGCCAAUGAAAUUUAGAUAUUGGUAAUUUUGGGAGCUUCCCCAACCAAAUUUAGUACAGACCUUCUGGCUGUCAGAAAGUGAAUCUGCUGGAAAAUACUGUUCACUAGCUAUAAGGCCACUCAGCUCAUAGAUGUUAUUGAAGACAACACCAACAUUUCUUGAAUCAUCAGAAUAGUAUACAUAAAGCUUCCCACUUAGGACACAAGUCUUUGCAUGCUCUAUGAGGGCGUCCCACAUUUUAUUUGACAUACCACUGCCAAGAAUCUGCUCUAACACCAAAAGAAUAUGUCAAAUACCAAUAAGGCAUGUUUCUCUUAUACUGGAAGCAGGGAUAGUAUAGUAGACUUACAGUUCGCAGCUUCUGAGGGUCUGUGACCACAAGCCUAAGGAAGUGUUCAACUGAAAAUAUCCCUGCAUUGUUUAGUCUUUUAUGGAAUGAUCCAUCCUUGCCAAUCUUCUCCAAUCUCCAUACAUCAUCAUUCAACGCAGGUGGAUAAUGCUUUUUGUACACUGCAACAAGGAAAGAAAACUUUUUAACCAAUUAUCAAAGUUAACAAGCAAAUAAGUCAACCAACAAGUAUCAUCAAGCAGCCUACAUUCCCCUCUGUGAUCUUUGACAGUGAAAGCCUCAGUCUUUGCUUCACGAACUCGUAUGCCUUCACAAUAUCCUGAUGCAACCUUGAGGCCAAGUCUGAACUUCCUACUCCUUAUCCAACUUGAAUUAUCAGUGAAGGUAAGCUCUCCUAAAGUUCCCACACCUUCCUUGAGUGUCACUUGUAGAUCGCCAGUCAACAAUGGUCUCUUUCCUUCCCGCUCUUUCACAACAUGGCUUUCAAAUUCUUCUUGAGUCCAGCUUUCAUUAUCUUCAGUGUUAAAAUCACCUUCUAGCACAAUAACAUCCAGCUUAACACACGAUUCAGGUCCAGAAGUGACAACAUGCCCUGUAUUUGCGUCAAUCAAGACAACAUGAAUUGCAGCUCCCUGCUCCCCUUCUACUUUACC
rnacentral:lncRNA from 1 species